AAAUUGAAGAGUUUGAUCAUGGCUCAGAUUGAACGCUGGCGGCAGGCCUAACACAUGCAAGUCGAACGGUAACAGGAAGCAGCUUGCUGCUUUGCUGACGAGUGGCGGACGGGUGAGUAAUGUCUGGGAAACUGCCUGAUGGAGGGGGAUAACUACUGGAAACGGUGGCUAAUACCGCAUAAUGUCGCAAGACCAAAGAGGGGGACCUUCGGGCCUCUUGCCAUCAGAU
rnacentral:rRNA from 1 species